rnacentral:rRNA from 1 species
CAGCAGUGGGGUUUAUUAAACAAUGGGAGGAAGCCUGAUCCAGCGACGCCGCGUGGAGGAAGAAUCCCUUCGGGGUGUAAACUCUUUUUGUGGGGGAAAAAGGACGGAUGGUCCCGGAGGAAUAACCCCCGGCUAAGUACCAGCCAGCACGCUCGGUAAUAGGUAGGGGGCGAGCGUUGCCCGGAAUCACUGGGAAUAAAGGGUGGGUAGGCGGCCGAGUCUGUCUGGAGUAAAAUACCAUGACUCAACCGUGGGAAUGCGAUGGAAAGUACGUGGAUUGCGUGCGACAGAGGCAGAAUUAACUGUUGGUGUAGGGGUGAAAUCGAUAUAUAUCGGCACGACCGCCGGGGGAGAGGUUGCUUUGCUGGGCCCUAACGGACGGUGGGGCAAGAAAGGUAGGGGAACGAACCGGAUUAGAUCCCCGGGUAG